rnacentral:rRNA from 1 species
UCAAGAUAGUAAGGGCACACGGUGGAUGCCUUGGCGCCGGGAGCCGAAGAAGGCCGUGGCAAGCUGCGAUAAGCCUCGGGGAGCCGCAGGCGGGCGUUGAUCCGGGGAUUGCCGAAUGGGGGAACCUGGCGUGGGGGAACCCGCGUCAUCCCGUGCUGAACACAUAGGCACGGGAGGGGCACCGGGCGAACUGAAACAUCUUAGUAGCCCGAGGAGAAGAAAUCAACCUGAGAGCCCGUAAGUAGCGGCGAGCGAAAGCGGGUGAGCCCAAACCGGCUACGUGUUAAAGCCUGCCGGCGUUGCGUAGUCGGGGUAGGGGGACAGGACGGAGGGUAGCGGCAGCUAUCCUGGGAGCGCACCGGAUUUAGGAGAAGAGGACUGGAACGUCCGGCCGUAGAGGGUAAGAGCCCCGUAUCCGAAAAGUCCGGGAGGCUUCUUGUUCUGAUCCCAAGUACUGCGGGGCACGAGGAAUCCCGUAGGAAUCAGGGGGGACCACCCUCCAAGGCUAAAUACUCCUGGCGACCGAUAGUGAACUAAGUACCGUGAGGGAAAGGUGAAAAGCACCCCGGGAGGGGAGUGAAAUAGAACCUGAAACCGUGUGCCUACAAGCAGUCAGAGGGCGUUGUGAGGCCUGAUGGCGUACUUUUUGUAGAACGGGCCGGCGAGUUACUGUUCGAGGCGAGGUUAAGGGGCGUUAAGCUCUGGAGCCGUAGCGAAAGCGAGUCCGAAUAGGGCGUGAUUGAGUCUCGGGCAGUAGACCCGAAACCGGGUGAGCUACCCAUGUCCAGGGUGAAGCGUAAGUAAAAUUACGUGGAGGCCCGAACCGACCGUCGUUGAAAAGGCGGCGGAUGAGGUGUGGGUAGGGGUGAAAUGCCAAUCGAACCCGGAGAUAGCUGGUUCUCCCCGAAAUGCAUUGAGGUGCAGCCUUAAGGUAAGGGUGCUGGGGGUAGAGCACUGGAUGGGCUAGGGGCCUUCACCGGUUACCGAACCCAACCAAACUCCGAAUACUGGCACCUGGUCCUUAGGAGUGAGACUGCGGGGGAUAAGCUUCGUAGUCGAGAGGGAAACAGCCCAGACCGUCGGCUAAGGUCCCCAAGUUCGGGCUAAGUGGUAAAGGAUGUGGGAUGACCCAGACAGCCAGGAUGUUGGCUUAGAAGCAGCCAUCAUUUAAAGAGUGCGUAAUAGCUCACUGGUCGAGUCGUCCUGCGCCGAAAAUUCAGCGGGGCUCAAGCCCGAUACCGAAGCCACGGCAGCGCGCGCAGCGUGCUGGGUAGGGGAGCGUUCCGUAUGCGGCGAAGCCAUACCGUGAGGAGUGGUGGAGCGUACGGAAGUGAGAAUGCCGGCAUAAGUAAGCGAGAAAGCAGGUGAGAAUCCUGCUCGCCGUAAGCCUAAGGUUUCCUGGGGAAGGCUCGUCCUCCCAGGGUAAGCCGGGACCUAAGCCGAGGCCGGAAGGCGUAGGCGAUGGGUAAGGGGUUGAGAAUCCCCUGCCACCGGUCGAGGGCGAUGGGGUGACGCAGGAGGGUAGGCUGAGCGCGCGGUUGGAAAAGCGCGUCCAAGCCUGUAGGGUGCGGGAUAGGCAAAUCCGUCCCGCUGUAGAGCCCGAGAGGUGAUGGGGAGGGAAAUUUAAGUACCGAAGCAGCCGAACCCAUACUGCCGAGAAAAGCCUCUAAGCGACAAAGACUCGGCUGGUGCCCGUACCGCAAACCGACACAGGUAGGCGGGGAGAGAAUCCUCAGGCGCGCGAGAGAACCCUCGCUAAGGAACUCGGCAAGUUGACCCCGUAACUUCGGGAGAAGGGGUGCCUCUGGGGGUUAAGGUUAUACACUGUAAGCCUCUGGGGGUCGCAGAGACCAGGCCCAGGCGACUGUUUACCAAAAACACAGGUCCCUGCUCAACUCGUAAGAGGAGGUAUAGGGGCUGACGCCUGCCCAGUGCCGGAAGGUUAAGGGGAGGGCUUAGUGCGCGAAAGCGCGCGAAGGUCUGAACCGAAGCCCCGGUAAACGGCGGCCGUAACUAUAACGGUCCUAAGGUAGCGAAAUUCCUUGUCGGGUAAGUUCCGACCCGCACGAAAGGCGUAACGACUUGGGCGCUGUCUCGGCGAGGGGCUCGGUGAAAUUGUAGUACCAGUGAAGAUGCUGGUUACCUGCGGUAGGACAGAAAGACCCCGUGGAGCUUUACUGUAGCCUGACAUUGGACUUUGGUAUCUUAUGUACAGGAUAGGUGGGAGGCUUGGAAGCCGGGGCGCCAGCUUCGGUGGAGCCGCCGGUGGGAUACCACCCUUAGGGUAUUGGAGUUCUAACCUUGGUCCGUGGAUCCGGAUUGGGGACAGUGUCAGGUGGGCAGUUUGACUGGGGCGGUCGCCUCCCAAAGGGUAACGGAGGCGCCCAAAGGUACCCUCAGCGCGGUUGGAAAUCGCGCGUGGAGUGCAAAGGCAUAAGGGUGCUUGACUGUGAGACCGACGGGUCGAGCAGGUGCGAAAGCAGGGCUUAGUGAUCCGGUGGUACCGAGUGGAAGGGCCAUCGCUCAACGGAUAAAAGCUACCCCGGGGAUAACAGGCUAGUCUCCCCCAAGAGUUCACAUCGACGGGGAGGUUCGGCACCUCGAUGUCGGCUCAUCGCAUCCUGGGGCUGGAGCAGGUCCCAAGGGUUGGGCUGUUCGCCCAUUAAAGCGGUACGUGAGCUGGGUUCAGAACGUCGUGAGACAGUUCGGUCCCUAUCCACCGCAGGCGCAGGAAACUUGAGGGGGGCUGUCCUUAGUACGAGAGGACCGGGAUGGACAGACCGCUGGUGUACCAGUUGUCCCGCCAGGGGCACAGCUGGGUAGCCAUGUCUGGCAGGGAUAAGCGCUGAAAGCAUCUAAGCGCGAAACCCGCCCCAAGAUAAGGUUUCCC